rnacentral:rRNA from 1 species
AUUGAACGCUGGCGGCAGGCUUAACACCUGCAAGUCGAGCGAGCGGCGGACGGGUGAGUAAUGUCUGGGAAACUGCCUGAUGGAGGGGGAUCACUACUGGCAACGGUAGCUAAUCCCGCAUACCCUCCGAUGUGCCCAGAUGGGAUUAGCUAGUAGGUGGGGUAAUGGCUCACCUAGGCGACGAUCCCUAGCUGGUCUGAGAGGAUGACCAGCCACACUGGAACGGAUACACGGGCCAGACUCCUACGGGAGGCAGAAGGGGGGAAUAUUGGACAAUGGGCGAAAGCCUGAUGCAGCCAUGCCGCGUGUGUGAAGAAGGCCGUCGGGUUGUAAAGCACUUUCAGCGAGGAGGCGUUACUCGCAGAAGAAGCACCGGCUAACUCCGUGCCAGCAGCCGCGGUAAUUC